rnacentral:rRNA from 1 species
GACGAACGCUGGCGGCGUGCUUAACACAUGCAAGUCGAACGGAAAGGCCCUGCUUUUGUGGGGUGCUCGAGUGGCGAACGGGUGAGUAACACGUGAGUAACCUGCCCUUGACUUUGGGAUAACUUCAGGAAACUGGGGCUAAUACCGGAUAGGAGCUCCUGCUGCAUGGUGGGGGUUGGAAAGUUUCGGCGGUUGGGGAUGGACUCGCGGCUUAUCAGCUUGUUUGUGGGGUAGUGGCUUACCAAGGCUUUGACGGGUAGCCGGCAUGAGAGGGUGACCGGCCAAAUUGGGACUGAGAUACGGCCCAGACUCCUACGGGAGGCAGCAGUGGGGAAUAUUGCACAAUGGGCGGAAGCCUGAUGCAGCAAAGCCGCGUGCGGGAUGACGGCCUUCGGGUUGUAAACCGCUUUCGCCUGUGACGAAGCGUGAGUGACGGUAAUGGGUAAAGAAGCACCGGCUAACUACGUG